rnacentral:lncRNA from 1 species
CUGGGACGGUGGGGUGAAAUGUCAGCUCGCCCGUUGCAGCGUCGGCUGAGGUCACCCACAGAUUAAAGAAAUCCCGGAUUAUCUCUCUUGAUGCUUGAGUUUUCUCCGUCUCUUGCUUUUAGUACAAAAUAGAUGGUCGUUUGGCUAGAUGUUGGUGUAACGAUUGUAGGAUCGAAACAAGUUUUCUGUUUCUGCUUAAGCAUAAAACCGGGGUAACGAUUAUUUCAUUUGAGCGUGGGAAGAACGCUUCAUAUAAAAAAAUCCUAAAUACGUCGAUGGGAUAUUUUCCGAGAACGUUCCGCAUCCCUGAGAUGGAACUAGCCAAGAUCAUGGCUUUCGUCGUGACAGAUGGGACAGGAAACUGGAGCAUCGGGAAACCAAAGCCAAGCUUUCAUGAGAGUCCUUUGCCAGCCCCAAAUUCCACGUUGUCAAAAGUGAGCCCAUCCAUAACAGAGUUAUUGCUCUAAAUGGGGAAAGUAAGGAGUUCUGGAUUUUUGGAAAGGGCACAGGUUUGGGAUUCCAAUCCUGGCUCUACCACUUGCCUGCUGUAAUUUAAUUCUGCAAUUGAUUUAUUUCUAUUACUGUCUGUCUCCCCCUCUGGACUGUAAGAUUGUUAUGGGUGGGGACCGUUUCUAUUAUAUUGUUAUAUUGUACUCUCCCAAGCGCUUAGUAUUCAUUCAUUCAGUCAGUCGUAUUUUUUGAGCGCUUACUGUGUGCAGAGCACUGUACUAAGCGCUUGGAAAGUACAAUUCGGCAACAAAUAGAGACAAUCCCUACCCAUCAACGGGCUCACAGUCUAGAAGCGGGCAGGACAGACAUCAAAAUGGGCAUCAAUAGCAUCAAUAUAAAUAAAUAGAAUUAUAGAUAUAUACACAUCAUUAAUAAAAUAAAUAGAAUAAUGAAUAUGUACAUAUAUACACAAGUGUUGUGGGGUGGGAAGGGGGGUAGAGUAGAGGGAGGGGUCAGGGCGAUGGGGAGGGGAGGAGGAGCAGAGGAAAAGGGGGGUUAAUCUGGGAAGGUACUCUGCACACAGUAAGAGCUCAAUAAAUACAACUGACUGACUGCUGUAAGACUACGGGCAAGUGACUUAACUUCUCCAUGCCUCAGUUUCCUCUGUAAUGUGGGAACUAAGUAUCCUCUCUCCCCUAACCCCUCCCAUAGACUGAGCCCCCUCCCCACCCUCCCAGUGACACAGGGACUGUGUCCGAUCUGAUUAUAUUGGAUUUACUUGACAAUGACCUUUAUAUUUACUCAUGUUAUGCUUGACAUAAAAUAAUUGUCAUAUUUGUUUUGCACCUAUUAUUGAGUAGAUACAAUACAUUCAGUUCAGAUGUAAUCUCUGUUCCCUUGGGUAGUUCAAAGCUAAAGGGGGAGAAAGGAAACAGGAAACUGAGGCACAGUGAAGCAAGUCACUUAACUUCUCUGUGCCUCAGUUCCCUCAUCUGUAAAAUGGGAUGAAGACUGUGAGCCCUACAUGGGACAACCUGAUUUCCUUGUAUCUACCCCAGCACUUAGAACAGUGCUUGGCACAUAGUAAGCACUUAACAAAUACCAUCAUUAUUAUUAUUACAAUACCACAAUAAAGAGUGACAACCCCUGCCCGCAAUAAUAAUGAUGGCAUUUGUUAAGUGCUUAUUAUGUGCCAAGCACACAUUGAACGCACAGCCUAGAGUUCAUGGUUAGCUCUAGUUAGCUCGUUAUGGUCAGGGAACGUGUCCUAAUUCUGUUGCACUUUACUCUCCCAAGUGCUUAGUACAGUGCUCUGCACAUAGUAAGUGCUCAAUAAAUACCAGUGAUUGACUAAUUGAUUGAUAGGACCUAGGCUUUUGACUCCUAGCUUUUUUUUCCAUUUGGCCAUCCUGCUUCUCAUAGUAAACUCCUGACAAAUACCACUGUUAUGAUUGUUAUUAUUGUCCUAUCAGCUCUGCCGCUGGUAAAUAUUUGAACACCUUUUCUUAUCCGAUUUUCUGGUAAAUAUUUGAACACCUUUUCUUACCCGAUUUUCAAUUUCCAAAUGGAAAGAAUGUGUACUACCUAGCUCGCUAAAGUGGUGAUCUGCACACAGUAAACCCUCAGUAAAUACUAUUGAUUGAUUAUAGAGAGGUAAUAAAUAAUUUUCAGAAAGGUCUUUGACAGCUCUGUAUGAGAGGAACAACCAAAAGUAAUGUGGUACUUAACCCGAUUUUGUAGUUCAUGAUUAUUAAUAAUUUAUUUCCUUCUGUGAUGGGUAUUUUUUUUUCAUGCAGGUCUUCGCUCUUUCUUUAAGUCCUUUGUCUAGGAUUUGGUAUUAGUGUGAAUCAGUUAUUAAAAAUUAAAGAGGAGCAGAUUGUCCUUAACAUGAAGCAGUCUGGUGAUAUGAAUGUAGUUUUAAUAUCUUCCACUGGAUUCUGCAAAACGUCACGGUUCUUUUCAUAAUAAUAAUAAUGAUAUUUGUUAAGAACUCACUAUGUGCCAGGCACUGUACUAAACACUGAUACGUACAAACAAAUCUGGUUGAAUACAAUCCCUGUCUCACAUGGGGCUCAAAGGAUGAAGUAACUGUCCCACUUGGGGCUGACAGAUGAGGUAACUGAGGCCCAGGGAAGUGAAGCGACUUGCCCGAGGUUACACUGCAGACAAGUGGAAGAGCUGGGAUUAGAACUCGUGACCUUCUGACUCUCUAGCCACUACACCAUGCUGCUUCCAUAUGAUAAUACCACAAUCCCCGUGCCAUGUGGGGCUCACAAUCUCAAACCCCAUUUUACAGAUGAGGUAACUGAGGCACAGAGAAGUGAUUUGAACAUGGUCACACAGCAAAGACGUGGUGAGGUUGGGAUUCAAUACUAGAAAUUAAUUAAUACAGAUCGUGUAAUAGUCUUGGGCACCCAAGGCGGUUACACUGAAAAGCAAGUGGGCAUGGUACCAGGGAAUAAUAGUAAUAUCCAUUCUGUGCUUAAGGGUCUGGGUGCUGAAGGGUUUCUAGCUAAUGAAAGCAGUAAGCUGAUUUAUUCUUGGAGUCAAGAAGUAAUGUGGGAAAAAAAAAAUCCUAAUUAGCCGUAGCCUCCAUUCGAGAACAACAGCUGUUCCACGCUCCCGAGAGAAGAGAUCCGGGGACUGAAGGCAAUUUAAUACCAGGUGCCUGCGCAGAGACUUUUCUAGAUAGAAAGUGUGGGUCCUCUAGUCCGAAAUGUCAGAGGCAGAAAACAGCCUGGAAUGAUAGAAGGGAGAGAAAAUCACCCCCUCUGGGUUCUAAACUCAUUAAGGGCAGGGUCCGUGUCUGCUAAUUCUGUUGGCCUGCACUUUCCCAAGUGCUUAGUACAGUGCUCUGCACAUAGGUGCUCAAAAAUACCACUGAUUGAUUGAUUGAUUUAUACUGACCUAACCGGAGAUUAAAGCAGCAUGGCCUAGUGGAAAUGGCCUGGGAGUCAGAGGAUCUGGCUUCUAAUCCCGACGUGGCCACUUGCCUGCUGCAUGAAUUUGGGUAAGUCACUUGAAUUUUCUGCACCUCAGUUUCUUCAG